UGGGGAAUAUUGCACAAUGGGCGCAAGCCUGAUGCAGCCAUGCCGCGUGUAUGAAGAAGGCCUUCGGGUUGUAAAGUACUUUCAGCGGGGAGGAAGGCGAUAAGGUUAAUUACCUUGUCGAUUGACGUUACCCGCAGAAGAAGCACCGGCUAACUCCGUGCCAGCAGCCGCGGUAAUACGGAGGGUGCAAGCGUUAAUCGGAAUUACUGGGCGUAAAGCGCACGCAGGCGGUCUGUCAAGUCGGAUGUGAAAUCCCCGGGCUCAACCUGGGAACUGCAUUCGAAACUGGCAGGCUAGAGUCUUGUAGAGGGGGGUAGAAUUCCAGGUGUAGCGGUGAAAUGCGUAGAGAUCUGGAGGAAUACCGGUGGCGAAGGCGGCCCCCUGGACAAAGACUGACGCUCAGGUGCGAAAGCGUGGGGAGCAAACA
rnacentral:rRNA from 1 species